CACCACAGUUUUUCUUCCUAGGUCUCUUUAAGGAAUUCUUGUUAAAGUUUACAAAAAUUUCUUUCUUUAUAAGCUAAAUUCAUCAACUUCUUAUUAAAUAUCUAUUUGUACCCAUAUAAAUUUGUUUCUUUAUAUUAGCUAUUUGCUAAUGUAACAAGUUCACUUUCCAUAUAGAAAUAUCAGACACAUAAAUUAUAGAUAAAUUGUAUGGAUAUCUUUGGCAUUUUUUUGAAAACACAGUUUAGGAUAUCAUGUCUUUUGUAUUUCUAGUUUAAUGUAAAGUAUAGUCAAGAAUCAUAAAUAAGGGUUAAUUUUUUCUUGAAAUAAUAAAUAAAUGCUUUCUCUUGAUUAUAAAAGUAAUAUGUAAUUUAUUUUAAAAUAUCAAAAAUCAAGAAGGCUGCAAGGAAGAAAUUAGAAAGUAACCAAUCAUUCUAUAAUUAGCAAUAAUUAUUGUAUUAUUUUUAGCAUAUAUUAUAUAUCUUGACAAAAAUAUACCAUAACAAUGUGUUAAACAUUUGUAAAUCAGUGAAUAGUUCUACAUUAAGUUACAGAUUAUUCCACUCUACUAUUUUAUAAUUUAUUUUAUUUAAAAAUAUCCUAUUGUUAGCAUUUAAAUGCUUAUUUUUUAUUUUGUAAACAACACUGAUAAAUAUUAUAUUAACCCAUUUUCAAUUUUUCCAAUUAUUUUUUCAGAAAAUUUCAUAGGAGUAAAAUUUCAAAUGGUUAAGGGUUUUUUUUAGUAUUUUACAUAUAUUUUGCCAAAUUGCCCUUCAGAAAGGUGGUACCAUUUCUGCUCUGCCUAUGAAGGAAAUUCUAUUUGACUUGCCUUCUGCCAUAAAACUAGUCAACUGAACAAAAUAUCUAAAACAAUUGUUUCUAGAUAUUGGACAAUAGGGAGCUCAGAAAUAUGAUCCCUGAGAAAAAGGAAUCAAAUAGGGCGAGCCUUACAGUUAUCUUGGGUUUUUACCCAGGAGAAAUUUCCAGAAUAUGAUGAAAGGAAGAAGAGACCAAAUAUAUCCUGAAUUGAAGAGAUAUAUAUUAAACUUUGGGAAAAAAAGAGCCACAAUUUAAUGUUGAGACAAUAUUGGAGAUGAGAGACCUAAAUAAAGGGCUUGACAUCUGCAAAUGAGUACUUUGAAGUCUUUAACUCAAUACCAAUCAAGAAAAAGGGUGAAAUUCCAUGAUGUUGCACAGAGAACAGCUCUUUGCAAAGUACAGCUAUCAGAGACUUCUAAACUGAAUGAUUUCCAGAGUUCACAUAAGACCAGGAAUCACUCAUGUUCCCACCAAGAAUGGAGAGACCUGUAGCUGCACAGGGCAUCCAGCUGAGCUUCAAAAGUGUUACAGACAUUAGUGGUGUGGCUAAACUAGUUCUAGAGUAAAGGUUUCUCUGGUGCCACCCUAAAAUAUACAAAACAUUUUUAAAUGAUCAGGCUGGUCCACAAAUAACCUAACAUCCCAUCCAGACAAAUUCCAACAUCUUUAAAAGAGUACAACAAAAUUCAUCAUUCAACAACAUACAAGUCACAGAGUCAAAAUGCUCCACAUCCAAUCAAAAAUUACUAGACAUGCAAAGAAGCAGAUAAUUGAUACUCAUAAUCUAAAUGAAAUUAAUAGAAAAUGACUCAGACUAUUUAAAUUAGAAGGUAACUUUAAAGUUUCUACUAUAAAUAGGUACAAUGAUAUAAAGACAAACAUGAACCUACUGAGGAAAAAUGGAAGAUAUAAAAAUGUCAGAAAUUCCAAAUAGAACUUCUAAAAAUGAAAAAUAAAAUAUUAUGAAUGAAUAUUUCACUGUAUAGGAUUUAUAGUAGAAUAGACCCUGCAGAAGAAACCAUUAAUCAACUGAAAGUUAUAGCAAGAGAAACUAUUUAAACCUAACUACAAAAGAAAAAGGGGUGAAAAAAGUUAACAGAGCUUCAGAGACCUGCUGAAUAACUGUAUCUAUACCUCUGUAUCUAAAACUAAAAUAUAUGCUUAUUUAUAACAUAUGUAUAUUAGAGUACCCAAGGAAAGAAGAAUGAAGGAAGGAGAGACAAAUAUUUGAAGUCAGCAAUUAAUGGCAGAAUUUUUUUUUUAGAAUUUGGUAACUAAUAUAAACUGACAAACUCAAUAAACUAAACAAACUCCAAGUAUGGUAAACACAAAGAAAAUCAUAUCAAGUCACAUAAAACUCAUAUAAAACAAAAGAAUAAAUGACAAAGAGAAAAACAGCAAGACACAAAAGACAUUACAUAUAGAGAGAGUAUAAGAAAAAAAAAUGGACUUCUUGUCAAAAAUAUCUAAGCCAGAUGACAAGGUGCAAACAAAAAUUUUAAAAGUUAAAUUUAAAAAAAAAUCAUCCUAGAAGUUCAAUGUAUAAGAAAAAUGUCUUUUAAGAAUGAAAACUAAGGAAAACUUUCUUAGACAAAACCGAGAACCCAUCAUCAGCAUACAGGAAUUUCAGAUAAUGUUCAAGGGCACUUUUCAGGAAGUAGGAAAAUGAAAUUUGGAUCUACAUAAAGAGACAAAGCAAAAAAUGGUAACUAUGUAGAUAAAUACAAAACCUUUUUCUUACUUUUAAUAUAAAUAAAAAAUAACUUACUAUUUAAAGCAAAAAUAAUAACUGUUUUGUGGGCUUUUAACAUAGGUAGCAAUAACUGUAUCAUUAUCAGAAAGGAUAGAAGGAUAGGAGAAGGAAAUAGUCGUAUGCUGAUUUCUUAUAUGUGAAAUUUUAUAUUAUUUGAAGGUAGCUUGUGAUAAUUGAAGUUGAAUACUGUAAAACCUCAAUCAAUAAGAAAGUUGUACAAGAGAAGAGAGUAAACUCAAGAAAUUUAGAGACAGAAAAAAAUGGCUAAUGAGGAAAUAGUGCAGAUGCAUUUCAAUAAUUAAUAUAAUUGAAAGGCUGGAAAAAGAAGAAGAAAAAGGACAAAUGUACAAAAUUGAAAACAAAUAGGAAAAUCCAGUUAUAAUUACAUUUAUGUAGUAAAUGUAAUUUACUACAUAAUUGAUAAUUACAUUUAUGUAGUUGAUAAUAACAUUUAUGUAGUCUAAUUACUGUGAUCAGAAAGAGACUAUUAAUCUGGAUUGAAAAAUAAAAAGCAGUCCCAUGGCAUACUAUUUGAGAGAUACUCACUUUAAAGACAUACAUAUUAAG
rnacentral:lncRNA from 1 species